UACGGGGGGAGCUAGCGUUGUUCGGAAUUACUGGGCGUAAAGCGCGCGUAGGCGGCUUUGUAAGUUAGAGGUGAAAGCCCGGAGCUCAGCUCCGGAACUGCCUUUAAGACUGCAUCGCUUGAAUCCAGGAGAGGUGAGUGGAAUUCCGAGUGUAGAGGUGAAAUUCGUAGAUAUUCGGAAGAACACCAGUGGCGAAGGCGGCUCACUGGACUGGUAUUGACGCUGAGGUGCGAAAGCGUGGGGAGCAAACAGG
rnacentral:rRNA from 1 species